rnacentral:rRNA from 1 species
UAUGAAGGGGGCUAGCGUUGCUCGGAAUCACUGGGCGUAAAGGGUGCGUAGGCGGGUUUUUAAGUCAGGGGUGAAAUCCUGGAGCUCAACUCCAGAACUGCCUUUGAUACUGAAGAUCUCGAGUCCGGGAGAGGUGAGUGGAACUGCGAGUGUAGAGGUGAAAUUCGUAGAUAUUCGCAAGAACACCAGUGGCGAAGGCGGCUCACUGGCCCGGUACUGACGCUGAGGCACGAAAGCGUGGGGAGCAAACAGG